AAGUCGUAACAAGGUUUCCGUAGGUGAACCUGCGGAAGGAUCAUUAACACGUAUCCAACGUUAAACCCCCCGUGAACUUUUAUUGCGAACCACGCCUUUGUUAGAAAGUAUGGUAAAUCAUCGCCGAACAGUUUUGAUUCUGGGACUUCCUCAAAGAGUGUGCAUGUUGCGCGAGGCAAGUGGCCUGGCAUUCCCAAGCAGUUAAUGUCUGAAAGUGUCAUUAGCUGUGUAAGGAUGACGCAGUAACGAUCGUUGGAGGCCGACACGGCCGACGACCGGGUCACCGGGCGCAAGCCCCUUUAUCACCACUUAAUGCAUGACAGACGCGCCAGCGCUUAAUUGUGCGGCGACCAAAAACCGAACAACUGUUAACAAUGGAUAUCUUGGUUCUC
rnacentral:misc_RNA from 1 species